CUUUCAACAAGAAAAAAUAAGUUGUUUACUGUAGAUGGAUAAAGGUCAACAGAUGCGCAAUUUUCAGCUGUCAGAAAUGUGUUGUGAUCACUUGUAUUCCUCAUAGCACUCAGGCUGUGAGGAAAUCAGCAGCCCGCGAUCGCAGCUCCUAUGAUGUGAACGCGCAAAGAGCGCAAAGCUCAAAGCCGGACAAUGAUGUUGUAGUAAAGCCCUCAGGACUACUCUGCAUGUAUUAACUGUGGCUAAACAUCAACUGCACUGAAGUCAUCAUAACUUCAGAAGUUCUUAUUUUCAAAUGAUUAUGAAUACUAUUAUUGUUAUUUGAAGCUGUGUCAGUCUUGACUGUGGGUGGUGUGGUCCUCUGUGUCUGCUAGUGUCUAUAAUACAGUAAUAUUUUUGUCGACAUUAUCAAACGGAAGAACUUUUAUUUUGAAACGCACAGGGCAACGAAGCACACUAGCCAAUAAGAGGACCCGCCCACCGGCGGAAACCAGAUAUUGAGUGGUAAAUUCGUUUUGUUAAGAAGAACCAAAAAACGAAUUAACGAACUGAAAUUUUGAUUCGUUUUUUUUGACAAAACGAAAAAACGACAAAACGGCUGGUUUUUGGUUUCUGCUUAUGUCAAUUAUUCCCAGAAAACAGAGUAAUAAAACGUACCUUGCUCGAUUCAGUCGGUUAUCCUGAAAUUUGAUAAUUGGAUCACAGUGAUCCAAUCCAAUGUUCCUUUAAAAACUGACAUAAAAGUAAGAUGGAUCAGGUAAUCCUGGAUAGCAAAACAUGGGAUUUCCAAAUCCGGAUCAAUUUCAUCCCGAUUAAAUUUUUGGAAAAACUGGGCUCUGAUAAACAGGAUUUGGUAUCCUUAAAUUUGGAUCACAGUGAUCCCAUCAAAUGUUCCUUUUAAAAACGGUCAUAAAAGUAAGAUGGAUCAGGUAAUCCUGGAUAGCAAACAUGGGAUUUCCAAAUCCGGAUCAAUUUCAUCCCGAUUACAUUUUUGGAAAAACUGGGCUCAGGUAAACAGGAUUUGGUAUCCUUAAAUUUGGAUCACAUUGAUCCCAUCAAAUGUUCCUUUAAAAAACGGUCAUAAAA